rnacentral:rRNA from 1 species
GACGUAGGGCGCGAGCGUUGUCCGGAUUUAUUGGGCGUAAAGAGCUCGUAGGCGGCUCGUUGCGUCGGCUGUGAAAACCCGCAGCUCAACUGUGGGCUUGCAGCUGAUACGGGCGGGCUGGGAUUCGGUAGGGGAGACUGGAAUUCCUGGUGUAGCGGUGAAAUGCGCAGAUAUCAGGAGGAACACCGGUGGCGAAGGCGGCGACCUGGUUCGAUACUGACACUGAGGUGCGAAAGCGUGGGGAGCAAACAGG